CCCAGUCAUUGAUUAUACCAGCCAUACUUCCUGCUCUGAUCGAGAUAGAUUAUUUUGGACAAAAGAAAUCGUGAGGUUUUAUAACAACAGGAACACUCUAUAACACCUGUAACAAUGGCUGAGGCAGUAGCAGAUGAUGACGAAGUAUGGACAAACGUUAUUGAUGAAACCAUUAACGUCAAUGUAGAUAGGCUUUAUCAUCUUGUAUUUGACGACGACUCCAGGUUUUUUAAGGAUUUUUUCCAGGGGAGAAAUAUAACAGAUUUAGUUAUAAGUAAUUGGCAGAAUGCAGAGGUCGGAGAUUCAGAGCAGCAACGUGUGUUAACAUAUACCGUCCAUCCAAAUCGGAUGUUUGCACCUGCAGAUAUACCCAGCACAGAAACUCAGAUUUCCUGUCAAAUAUCAAAUGAUGAGUUCCAGAAACAGUAUAUUAUUAAUGCAAAAACAAUCACCGUGGGUCAUCGUUACGCCGAUUCCUUCCAUGUUUUGAUUCGGUACGAACUAUCAAAGAUCUCCCCAGAUCAAUGUCGUAUGGCUGUUAAAGCUAAAAUUAUCUUCACGCAGGAUGUAAUGGUGAAAGGAACAAUAACAAGUGCAACUUUAGACGAUUUACUCAAAUAUUUUACACAUUUAGCUACAGCAUGUAAACAGAAACUCACAGAUCAAAAUAGAGCCGUCCCUUUACAACGACAGAGACAGAGAAUAAUAGAACCAUUUUAUCAAAGUUUAUUACGAAAGGCUUGGUUCAAGAUUCUUAUUCGUUCCAUAUUUAUUUGGAUUAUAGCUUGGUUAUCAUACAGACUCGUAUACCCGUAGAUACUGACGUCAUCAUCAAAUAACAAGUUCAUGCAUAUACAGACGGAUUGUUUACUUGAAGAGGCUAUCAUUAUGACGUCAUCAUUAAAUAACAAGUUCGUGCAUAUACAGACGGAUUGUUUACUCGAAGAGGUUAUCAUUAUGACGUCAUCAUUAAAUAACAGGUUCGUGCAUAUACAGGCGGAUUGUUUACUCGAAGAGGUUAUCAUUAUGACGUCAUCAUUAAAUAACAGGUUCGUGCAUAUACAGGCGGAUAGUUCACUCGAAGAGUUUGUCGUUAUGACGUUGUAUUAUGUUAUGCAACGCCAUCUAUUUCUAUGCUUCAUGAAUAACACAGCUGUAUUCACGUGUACGCUUAAACACCUUUAAAGUGCCAAUCAACAUUUCAGUUCCGGUUGUGGAUUGUAGUUUCGGUUCUUGACUUUAGUUCCCGUUCUAUAUCUGCUGUUUCUUGAAGAUCCCAACAUGUUUUCUUUAUAGCCAUACAAAACAAAGUAUUAUUUAUUUUCAAACAAAAUAAUUUAAUUACUAAUAGGACAUGCAACAUGUUAUAUAGUUAUUUAUUCCGGAGUAAAAUGGACGUACAAUAGAUUAGGCCGUCUUCAGUUUUAUAAUUGUGUGUAAAACAUGAUAUUUGUGAAAGUUGAACGAUCGUAAUCGUUGCCGAAAGUUCCAAACUGGUUAAAAUACAGAUUUAAAUACCGUUUUUAUAUAUUCGAUGGCAUUUUCCUGCAUUUUUGGGUUGAGUUUUUGGUCUAGAAUUGGAGAAAAGGGAUCAAGGUUGCAAUGUCAUAGCAGUUUUGGGUGAUACAGAUGAGGGAUAAGGGGUGUAAAGUAUCUUUGUGCAGAGCAAUCAUUGUGAGAUUUACACCCCAGUCAACAUCAUAUUCCCGUAGGAAAAAAUCUAAACGGUCAACCCCGUACAAAAUUAUGAUGAGGGGAUUGACAAAUGUGGUCCCCAUUGUGCCUAUAAAGAUUGGAACCAACGGCAUGUUGAGCAAAACGCUACAGCCUGUGAUGUUAUAGCCAUUUAACAUUGAAGUCAAUGGGCAAAUAAUUGCUAGUCUGAGACCAAGCGGACUUGGAGGCAGACCACCAUUAAUUUCUCCAUUGACUCCAAUGUUAAAUCAGUGGUGUUCUACAUGCUGUAGCCCAUUCCCUAAAUUUCGUUGAGAACUUCGCUUUACAGCACAGCAAGUAUGACAUCAUGGGAUCAUCAGAGUACUAAAUUUGUAUGAGGUUGACCACCAAAAUUUCAAUUCACUGAAAUUCAUAGCAGACUGGGGUCAGAAUAUCAUGUCCGUGUUAGUGCAAAAACAAAACAAAGCCUCUUUACUCCUUGUAGUCUUCCGCCUUAAAAAUCUCAAUCUGACACCAAACCAGGCAGAAAAUAGAAAUUCAAUGCCUCUUCAUCAAUUCUACACCAAAAAGUCAAUAGAGAUAAGCAUGCAAAAUGGCAGGAAAGGAGGGAGUAAAAUAUAUCUAAAAAUAGCCGGCACUACCAUUACCGAGAUAUGGAAAAUUAAUGGUGGUCUGCCUCCACUUACACUGCUUAAAAGUUGUCUCCCGUAGUUCCGCGCACACCUCACAUUUUGAUUGGCUAAUCUCUCACAUGAAACGGAACGCGGUUCAUUGAAAAGCCUUUUCAUAUCACUGUCUGCGAUAUCACCUCGGUGGAAGCGGACGUAAAAUACAACUAACCCAUCAUCAACUGUCUGGGCGUAUAUUUAUGUAGUGGAUAGUCAAAUUAUGUGUUCUACAGCAGCUAGGAACAUAAGCGUUAUAAUCGACAGAAUUUGAACAUGGAAGCACAAGUAAAUAAUAUUUGUAAUGUGUGUUACUGUUAUUUAAAAACAAAAUCGGUUAAAAAAGGAAAUACAUUAAUAAUGAUGCAAAUAAAACUUUAAUUAAUUCAUAUGUUACCUCUAGACUAGAUAAUUUCAAUUCCUUGUUAUCUGGACUUCCUUUUACAGUAAUUUAUAAAACUCCAAAAAGUACAAAAUUGUGCAGCUAGUCUAAUAACACAAAGCAGUCAUCUCAUAUUACUCCAAUAUUGUACAGCCUUCACUGGUUACCGAUUCAAUAUAGAAUUAAGUUUAAAAUUCUGCUUCUUACAUACAAAUAUCUCAACAACCUCUGUCCUGCAUAUUUGUAUACCCCUAAACGCAACCUCCGCUCUUCCUCGAGUUCAUGUCUUCUUGUUACACGCAAUGCAUAUUUAAGUUCAUUUGGUGACCGUUCAUUUUAUGUACAAGCUCAAGCCCCCCCCCCCCCCCCCGUUUCCCCAUCACCCUGGAACAAAUCAAAUUACCACUAUAUAUUCUAUGUAUUAAAACAUGUUCAUCAAGGCCUACUUUUAUAAAAUACAUAAAGAAGUUUUUAUGUAAUCAUUUAAAUGUAAGUUUUAUAUAUUGUUUAUAACCGGUUAAAUACCUGGGCCCUGUUUCUCAAAAUAUUAACUAUAUAGAUAAAAUACAAUUUUAGUAGAUACUUAAAUUUUGAUUGGCUAAGCACUAAAAUCAAUCUAAUAUUAUCCAAUCAAUUUACUGAAAUUUGUAUUUUAUCUUAGUUGAAAUUUCGUUAAACAGGCCCCUGUUUAUAACUUUUUUUUAUCUUAAAUGUACGCUACGUAUAGUUAUUGUUUUAUUUACAUAUAUUCUGUGUACUAUAUUUUAUGACAUUUUAUGCUGGUUGUUAUUUUUACAUUGUUGUCUAAUUUUUUUACUCUAACCUUUUUAUUUAUAUGUACUUUUUAUUUAUUUAGCUGUUAAUUGUGUAGAGGGUAUAUGGAUAGCUAACAGUGACAGCUAUGCACUAUAUAAAUUUUUCAAUAAUAAUAUGGCUUGGUGAUAAGAGCACCUAAUCAACAUUGUGAAUUUACCCCCGUUUCCUCCUACAGAAAAGACCUCUGUCCAUGCCCCGGGAAUAUAUUAAAAUUAAACCACUUGUCUGGGAUGUCACCCACGAUAGAAGCGGUCGUUAAGCCCUAAGAACAAACCCCAUUGCCACUAAAAGACAAAAAAAAGAUAUAUGAACAAUAAAAAUAACGAAGCGAAGUAGGAUCUGUGUUUGGUUCAGAUGUUGUUAACAUAUUCACACGAGAGCAGUAUGUAAACAAUUUUAAUAUCCUGCCAAAUUCUGUCACAAGGUUGUACAUUUCGUGUCACACUCACACGCCUGUCCAUUUUGUGUCACACCCCUGUCCAUUUCGUGUCACACGCUUGUCUAUUUCGUGUCACACACUUGUCCAUUUGUUUAAAAUAAAAUUAUGAUCUGAUUAAUAA